CGCAUGAGACCACAGAAUCGCAUGAUAUAGGGGUCAAAGAUUUAUCGGUGUAAGAAGGGCUCGCGUCUGAUUAGCUAGUUGGAAGGGUAAAGGCCUACCAAGGCGACGAUCAGUAGCCGGUCUGAGAGGAUGAACGGCCACAUUGGAACUGAGACACGGUCCAAACUCCUACGGGAGGCAGCAGUGGGGAAUAUUGCACAAUGGGGGGAACCCUGAUGCAGCGACGCCGCGUGAGUGAAGAAGGUUUUCGGAUCGUAAAGCUCUGUUGUAAGAGAAGAACGAGUGUGAGAGUGGAAAGUUCACACUGUGACGGUAACUUACCAGAAAGGGACGGCUAACUACGUGCCAGCAGCCGCGGUAAUACGUAGGUCCCGAGCGUUAUCCGGAUUUAUUGGGCGUAAAGCGAGCGCAGGCGGUUAGAUAAGUCUGAAGUUAAAGGCUGUGGCUUAACCAUAGUACGCUUUGGAAACUGUUUAACUUGAGUGCAGAAGGGGAGAGUGGAAUUCCAUGUGUAGCGGUGAAAUGCGUAGAUAUAUGGAGGAACACCGGUGGCGAAAGCGGCUCUCUGGUCUGUAACUGACGCUGAGGCUCGAAAGCGUGGGGAGCAAACAGGAUUAGAUACCCUGGUAGUCCACGCCGUAAACGAUGAGUGCUAGGUGUUGGGUCCUUUCCGGGACUCAGUGCCGCAGCUAACGCAUUAAGCACUCCGCCUGGGGAGUACGACCGCAAGGUGAAACUCAAAGGAAUUGACGGA
rnacentral:rRNA from 1 species